AAGAAGAAAGGUCUGCUAUUAAGCUUUUUCUUGUGCUUUUAUUUUGAGAUUUGCUAUGUGCAAUUAUGUCAAUGUGCAGUUCUGAGGAGCGUCUGUGCGAGCUGGUGAGAAUACGAGAACAUUUAAAACCCUUCCAUACGGUUGUAUUGGGGAAAGUAUGCAAAAACAACAGCUGGAGGGAGAUAGCACGAAAUUUGAACACCGAUAUUAAUAUCAAAGAAACAUGGAGAAGGAUUCCGGACCCAUUAUUAAUAUCAAAGAAACAUGUAGAAGGAUUCCGGACCCGAUAUUAAUAUCAAAGAAACAUGGAGAAGGAUUCCGGACCCGAUAUUAAUAUCAAAGAAACAUGGAGAAGGAUUCCGGACCCGAUAUUAAUAUCAAAGAAACAUAGAGAAGGAUUCAAUAUGCCAGACGGUUUGGGAGGGGCUGGUGUUUUGGACAAAGCAGAGCCCUGAGGGCCUAUCUACAAGUGGUUCAUCGCCUCUUGAUUCUUCACCUCCCGGCCCCUUUCCCCAAUGCCUUUCUCACCAACACCCAACGUACUGUCCAGGUGCACACUUGCUCUCUGCCCUGCAACUCAUCAACCUCUGCUCCAUCUUCCUGACCCAGCUCCAAUGGCCAACUGAGGAAGACAGCUGAGGAUCCUUUGGACACUGACAUUAUGCAGCAGGUGGAUGACUUAAAGAAACGGCAACAGGAGUUACAGAAAAGGCAGCAGUGUCCAGCAAUGGCCAUCUUCGAUGUCAUGGUACCAUGGAUGGUAUUUAUUCCAGCUGAUCAAUGUCUCCCGUUUGUCAGGGACGUGAUGAUGUACUUUCACAGGGCCAUCAAUCAGUACAGUGUCCGCCCCAUCCGCUCUCGAGUGAUACAGAGCCCUCCGUCUCACUCCAAAAACGUGUGCUGUGUGCUUUUUUUCUUAUUCACACGUAAGGGUGGUGGGUAAUUUACAGUUUUUUUGCAUGAUUUUUUAUAUUUACUGAGGAAAUAAUUAUUGUUACUGGUGUUUACUUUGUUUUUUCUCUUAUUUCCCCUUUCACCACACUUUUACCCUGUGUUUUACUUAUCACUCUUUUCCUCUUGAGAUAGUAAAUAAAUAUCUAAAAGGUCUGCAAAUGUAUUUGCACUUGUGGCAGAAAAUA